GUUCAAUCCCCAGUACCGCAAAAAAAAAAAAAAAAAAAAAAAAAAAAGAUUAGCAUGGCCUCUGCACAAGGACGAUGUGGAAAUUUGUGAAAUGUUCCAUAUUUUU